rnacentral:lncRNA from 1 species
CAAGAUAUCUGACACUGUCCCUCUUGGCGAUGACCUGAGAUCCAAUCAUCACGUCUCCGCCUACUUCGCUCGGUUCGGUGCUAAACUUGCACUCCAGGUAUUUUGUCUUAGAUCUGCUUAUUUUGAAAACCUUAGACUCGAGAGUCCUCUAACCUCUCAUUAACACCGACCCUCAUCUCGUCUAUCAAAACUAUGUCAUCAGCAAAUAGCAUACACCAAGGCACAUUCCCUUGAAUAUGACGGGUUAGAGCAUCCAUCACCA